rnacentral:tRNA from 1 species
GGAGAAGUGGCAGAUGGAAAUGUAUUUAGCUUGAAACUAAAAGGAUGGAGGUUUGAAUCCUCUCUUCUCUU